rnacentral:rRNA from 1 species
ACGGAGGGUGCAAGCGUUGUCCGGAAUCAUUGGGCGUAAAGCGUUCGUAGGCGGCAUACCAAGUCUGGUGUUAAAGCCCGAGGCUCAACCUCGGUUCGGCACUGGAUACUGGUAAGCUAGAAUACGGUAGAGGUGAAGGGAAUUCCUGGUGUAGCGGUGAAAUGCGUAGAUAUCAGGAGGAACACCGGUGGCGAAGGCGCCUUACUGGGCCGUUAUUGACGCUGAGGCGCGAAAGCGUGGGGAGCAAAUGG